AGCAUGAAGCCCCCCUCGAGAUGAGAUUUCCCAACUUCGGUUAUAAGAUCCCUCAAAGAUGAUGAGGUGAAUAGGUUCGAGGUGGAAGCGUAGCGAUACGUGGAGCUGACGAAUACUAAUCGAUCGAAGACUUAAUCAA
rnacentral:rRNA from 1 species